GACGAGCCACACGAACGUUAUUUGGAAUUACUGGGCUUAAAGGGUGCGUAGGCUGCGCGGAAAGUUGGGUGUGAAAUCCCUCGGCUCAACCGAGGAACUGCGCCCAAAACUGCCGUGCUCGAGGAAGAUAGAGGUAAGCGGAACUUACGGUGGAGCGGUGAAAUGCGUUGAUAUCGGUGGGAACGCCAGUGGCGAAAGCGGCAAACUUGACCCUUCCUGACGCUGAGGCGCGAAAGCUAGGGGAGCAAACGGG
rnacentral:rRNA from 1 species